GGUCUCCGUUGGUGAACCAGCGGAGGGAUCAUUACCGAGUUUCAACUCCCAAACCCCUGUGAACAUACCUUUAUGUUGCCUCGGCGGAUCAGCCCGCGCCCCGUAAAACGGGACGGCCCGCCGCAGGAACCACAAAACUCUGAUUUUAGUGUAACUUCUGAGUCUAAAAAACAAAUAAAUCAAAACUUUCAACAACGGAUCUCUUGGUUCUGGCAUCGAUGAAGAACGCAGCAAAAUGCGAUAAGUAAUGUGAAUUGCAGAAUUCAGUGAAUCAUCGAAUCUUUGAACGCACAUUGCGCCCGCCAGUAUUCUGGCGGGCAUGCCUGUUCGAGCGUCAUUUCAACCCUCAAGCCCCCGGGUUUGGGUUGGGGGAAUCGGGCUGUACUCCAGCCCGGCCCCGAAAUCUAGUGGCGGUCUCGCUGCAGCCUCCAUUGCGUAGUAGCUAACACCUCGCAACUGGAACGCGGCGCGGCCAAGCCGUUAAACCCCCAACUUCUGAAUGUUGACCUCGGAUCAGGUAGGAAUACCCGCUGAACUUAAGCAU
rnacentral:rRNA from 1 species